GGUCUAAAGGACACUUAUACCUAUAUCCCAUCAGAGACAUUCUUGACAGUAGAAUGCUCUGGAGUUGGUCAUGUUCAAUGAUGAUGUACCCUUACAUCUCACCUGUAUGCCAUACCAGUGUCUCCACACUCCUUGGUUAAGAGGACAACCAACCCAUAUGGCCUACAGCGACCAAUGCUCGAUAAAAGCUGUCGUCCUUAUUAACAACCUAUCAUUUGGUCGUGAACAGUUUUAAGGACUAAUCGAUAAAUCCUCUCUUUAUCGAACUUAAAUAGUCCUAAGAACUU
rnacentral:lncRNA from 1 species